CGCCUCCCUCCCCCGGCUGCGCACACACCGCACGCUCGCACCCGCUCGGGUGUCAAACCCCGCCGGGCACCCAGCCUGCUGCGGGCACUGCCCCGGCCCCCCCGGCCGCUCCCAGCGCCGCCGAUCGGAGCCUCCCCCGCUUCCAAAUGCUCUUCCCACACUGCAGUCAAUGAAUCUCUAAUCUCCUGGACUGAAAUGUCUGACACUUCCAGAAUCAUUUAUUUGCUGCCUCGACUCGCAGAGCUCCACCUACAGCAGUGUCUCAGCGGUGGGCUGGUGGUGUAUCUGAUGGAAAUGUCUGUUCUCUCGGGGGCUGGGAGGGAUGGGAGGAUGAGCACGGGCUCUGCUGUGCCUCUCACACCACCCUUCAAGCAGCAGGAUCUGAGGGACAAGGAGUGGAUGAGCUCUGGUUGAGUUUAUUCCAUGGCUGCUCCUGUCAAACACCAACACUGACCAAAGCCUGGUUCUCUUUGCUGUUGCAUCCCUGUGGAAGGUGGACAAAAGGGCAAAGAGGAGAAGCUCAGCUCCUGAGAGAAGUCUCCAAACUGCUCCCUCUGGCUGCUCCAAGAAGCUGAACUUUCCCUGGAAUCUGUGGCUGGUGCUCCCAGGCCAUUACACACUUCUCACUUGACUGCCCUGCUGGUGCCUUCACUUUUAGGAUGAAUUAUGCAAGAAAUGCUGUGAAGCAUCAGAAAUGCUGAGGAUUGAGAAGAGUCCUCUCGGUGCAUGAACUUACUUGUGGAUAAAGUCACACUCACCUGGAUUCCAGCUCCUCCAGAAAAGGACACGAGGUGUGGAAAGGAUCACAAAUCAAUCAGUGGACUUUGGUUUUGCUUUGGUGUGCUUGUAUCAUGUCUGAACAUGCAAAGAACUUGGUUUUCCAUAAGGAAUCCAGUAAAUGGCACCUCUGUAAAUCA